rnacentral:rRNA from 1 species
UUGUUCGGAAUUACUGGGCGUAAAGGGCGCGUAGGCGGCUUAUCAAGUCAGGCGUGAAAUUCCCGGGCUCAACCUGGGGGCUGCGCUUGAUACUGAUUGGCUUGAAUGCGGGAGAGGAUAGUGGAAUUCCCAGUGUAGAGGUGAAAUUCGUAGAUAUUGGGAAGAACACCGGUGGCGAAGGCGGCUAUCUGGCCCGUAAUUGACGCUGAGGCGCGAAAGCGUGGGGAGCAAACAGG